AUCAGGGUUAACUCGAGUCUGGCGAUUGGGUUUAGAAGGAGCAUCUCUUUGAGCCAAUUCCUGUAUGGAUCACCAUUGAAAGGGUUUACACUUGUGUACCUUAUGGAGAUAUUGAAAAUAGUGAUUAAGGUAUUUAUAAAAUUAUAUACUGUAUUUUAUCAUAGUUUAAUAAUUUGGUUGAAUGCAUCAAAGGGGAUCCUAGGAUUUAGGG
rnacentral:lncRNA from 1 species